rnacentral:rRNA from 2 species
CGUAGGUGAACCUGCGGAAGGAUCAUUGU